GCCCGAGUGGCGCAACUGGCAGCGCAGCCGAUUUGUAAUCGGCAGGUUGGGGGUUCGAAUCCCUUCUCGGGCU
rnacentral:tRNA from 1 species